AAAAUUAGAAUUAGAAUUUAUGCAAAAUUUAACCAUAAAAAUGGAGUGAGCAUACUUAAUGAAUCACCAUGUAUAUAACAGAUACAAUGAAGUGCAAAUUUCUCUGUUUCUGAAGAUAAUUUGACAAAAAGGGAUGUGGCUGUGUUAUCCUGUUACCAACUCCUCCCCUCAUAUUCAUCACAGGGAGAAAGUGUGUUGUUUCGGUUCAACGAGAACCGAUAAUUUCUUUU